rnacentral:rRNA from 1 species
GGGCUAACCUUUUAGGAGGCAGCCGGCCACGGUAAGGUCAGCGACUGGGGUGAAGUCGUAACAAGGUAGCCGUAGGGGAACCUGCGGCUGGAUCACCUCCUUUCAAGG